UACGGGGGGGGCAAGCGUUGUUCGGAAUUACUGGGCGUAAAGGGCUCGUAGGUGGCCAACUGAGUCAGACGUGAAAUCCCUCGGCUUAACCGGGGAACUGCGUCUGAUACUGGAUGGCUUGAGUUUGGGAGAGGGACGCGGAAUUCCAGGUGUAGCGGUGAAAUGCGUAGAUAUCUGGAGGAACACCGGUGGCGAAGGCAGCUCGCUGGGACGGUACUGACGCUGAGGCGCGAAAGCGUGGGGAGCAAACAGG
rnacentral:rRNA from 1 species